rnacentral:rRNA from 1 species
GACGAACGCUGGCUGCGCGCUUAACACAUGCAAGUCGAACGCUGAAGCCCGAAGCUUGCUUCGGGUGGAUGAGUGGCGAACGGGUGAGUAACACGUGAGUAACCUGCCCCUGAUUUCGGGAUAAGCCUGGGAAACCGGGUCUAAUACCGGAUACGACCGACCCUCGCAUGAGGGUUGGUGGCAAGUUUUUCGAUCAGGGAUGGGCUCGCGGCCUAUCAGCUUGUUGGUGGGGUAAUGGCCCACCAAGGCGACGACGGGUAGCCGGCCUGAGAGGGCGACCGGCCACACUGGGACUGAGACACGGCCCAGACUCCUACGGGAGGCAGCAGUGGGGAAUAUUGCACAAUGGGGGAAACCCUGAUGCAGCGACGCAGCGUGCGGGAUGACGGCCUUCGGGUUGUAAACCGCUUUCAGCAGGGAAGAAGCGAAAGUGACGGUACCUGCAGAAGAAGUACCGGCUAACUACGUGCCAGCCGCCGCCGUAA